UACAGAGGGGGCAAGCGUUAUUCGGAAUUAUUGGGCGUAAAGGGCGCGUAGGCGGCUUGAUAAGUCACGGGUGAAAUCCCUCGGCUCAACCGAGGAACUGCCCUUGAUACUGUCAGGCUCGAGGCCGGGAGGGGGUAGCGGAAUUCCCAGUGUAGCGGUGAAAUGCGUAGAUAUUGGGAGGAACACCGGUGGCGAAGGCGGCUACCUGGACCGGUUCUGACGCUGAUGCGCGAAAGCGUGGGGAGCAAACAGG
rnacentral:rRNA from 1 species